CGUUUCUUGUUUCCUCUGAAUUCUUCUCCUAUGUUGUUCCUCUCUUCCCUCUCCUCUCCCCUCUGCUGUUUCCUUCCUCCUAUGAUGUCUCAACGCUGUCCAAUGGUGCCAACCCCGUUCACUAGAUUCUGUCCUAAAAAAGCCUGUCCGUCCUGUUCAGUUGAAUGAUUCAAAGGAGACGAGACAUGUAUAUCCCGGCGACGACUUUCCACUUAUUGUUACGGAAGAUGACGCGGCGAGGAAGGAGCAAUUUGUGAGUAUGCCGCCAGACUCUAUCCAUAUGCAAUACAGAUCAUGCAACUCCUCGCACUUUCCUUUCGACUACCUCGGUUCUUCCUUGUGUGCCACUCAGUGAAAGAUCACCCUGGAGUUCCUCUCAUUGUUAUUUGGGAACCCGGCAGUGGUGCGGUCGGUUAACUGUACUGGUCAUAGUUUCGGAUCCGACUUGCUGACAUUUGAUUCAUUCUUCUGUAAACUGCUGUUCUGUGGACAUGUUUCGGCAGUUGCAGGAGUGACCGAGAGCCUGUUAUUGAAUUAUAGCAGCUGGGGGCGGCUCAAGGGUUUUGGAGGCCUAAGGCGAAAUAUAAAAAUGAGACCCUUUUUUUUAAAAAUAAAAUUUAAAAUUUAUUUUUCCAACUUUUUUAGAUGCAAAAUUACUUAUUAAGCUUUUAUAUUCAUUUUUUUUUCUAAUAUUUCCUUUUCAAUUGAUAACAUAGCUAAUCAAUUGAAAACUACUUGUUAAAAGAAUAUCAAGAGCUCCUUUUUGAGAUUGAAUUAAACUUUCAGUUCUCCUCAUUUUUUUAAGUUUUGAAUAACCAAAUUCAUAUUUCCUAGUUGACGUAUUUACCCAAAAACACUACCAAAAAUUUCCUAUGUUUACAAAUAAUAUACAUUUGUAUAAACACUUCAAAAAUAUAUACCUACAAACAAUAUAUAUUUAAUAAAAUAUAAAUAUAAAUUAAAAAGAAUAAUCAAAGUUUAGAACAAUAUAACCUGUUUAGUAGAAAAGAGAAUAGUUAUGAGAAUAAUUAGAAUUUAAAAGUAAAACAACUCCUUUUACAGCAGCAAAAUUUGAAUAAUAAAAACUUAUUGGAAAGGUAGUCGGAGAUAAUUAAGGAGAUUAACAUUGUAGAGGAGGAGAAUAAAUUACAAAGGUAGUUGGAGAUAUUAAGGAGAAAAAAAAUAGAGGAAAAUCCACGAUGGAAGAGAGAAAAUUUAGAAGUAGUUGAGAAGCAAUUAAAUAAUGUUGACUAAUUUUUUUAAAAAAACGAGGCCUUGAUUUUUUAUUUUUGAGGUUUUGAUUUUUAAUUAAUUUUUGGAUUCUUUUAAUAAUUAUAAUUAUUAAAUAUAAUAAUUACUAAUAUUAUCACAAACCUAGGCCUAAGGCCGUUGCCUUCCUUACCAAAUGGAAGAGCCGCCCCCUGAUAGCAAGAUAAGGAUGUGGAUUGCUCCUCUCUCGAUCUUCCGCAUUAUUGUCAUGAGUUCAUCAUCGUCACGGUCUCGACAGUCAGUUCUAAUCCCUCUAUCACUACUAGCAGAGGCUUGUGUUAUUUAUCUUCGGUCGUCUGUCGAUCAUCUCAUUAAAUGAUCGAUUUGGAAGCAAAAUUAUGUACCAAAAUAGAAAGUGAUUCAUCUACAACAGGCAGCCAUUUUCAGUUGAAGGAUGAACAGACCCGCCUGAUCUCGCCUCCCGAAUCAGUCUUCACAUCUAUCUGUCCCAUUUUCACGAUAGCCUCAACGAAA